ACUCACUCUAACUCUCUCUCUCUCUAACUCUCUCUCUAACUCUCUCUCUCUCUCUAACUCUCUCUCUCUAACUCACUUUCUCUCUCUAACUCUCUCUCUAACUCACUCUAACUCACUCUCUCUCUAACUCACUCACUCGCACUCUCUCUCUCUCUAACUCUCUCUCUCUCUAACUCACUCUCUCUCUCUAACUCUCUCUCUAACUCACUCUAACUCACUCUCUCUCUAACUCACUCACUCGCUCUCUAACUCUCUCUCUCUAACUCUGUAGGUACAGCCACCGUCCCGUCUAGAACUACAAAUCCCAUCAACUAACUCCCGCGAUGACCUACGUCACGGCGGCCAUGAUCACCUACGUCACGUCACAUGACCGACUCUAUAAGUGACCUCGUCACAUUCAACUCCUCCUCUUUCACGCUGUGGACUCCGCAUCGCACAGACAUAAAGAGACACCCUCUCAUCAGAACAUCCAAGAUCAAGACGUCUGCCUUGCAAGAAAAAGAAGACUCAGCGCGCUUUCGUAUAUACCACUGGCCACGGUAAAAGUACUUAAGUUGCGCCGUCUCACUCAUAUUGAGUUACAACCGGUUUAUUUGUUUAUUAUAAGUAACGUUACGACUGCAGCCCAAGCAGUUAAUUAAAAGUUAGAAGCGACCAGAUUCCUUCUGACUUAAUCGCUGUGCACAUUAUUGAUCAGAGACUUUUCCUCACGAACGAUGAAGCUUCGGAUCAAGGAAUUCUCUGCCUUUCAUGGAAGUGACCCACGAACUUUCUGUGAAACUCCGCGAAACUCCGGGACAUCUCUGCAUAUCCUGCAUAGAGACAUCGAUACUAGAACGAAUAUGAACUAAAGCAAGCAUGUGGACUGAAAACAGAAGUGGCUCGAAUAGUGAGCCUUGAGGAACACCGUGAAGGUUAUUUUUCACACUGCAAGGCCUCGAAAAGGAAACAGCCAGCUGGCUAACUGGCUCCGCUCUGUCGAAGGCCGAAUCUUUCCAGCUGCUGGAGCCGGACUGAGGGUUCCUCAGGGUUCCUCAGGGUUCUCUGCUUUAUGCCGACUCUCUCUGUGCCUGACAGGAGGACGUGUUUCUCCAUCAGCGGAGUCGCGGCUCAGAGAAAAGAGUGAUCAGCGUGGAGACAGUAACGGAUCUGAGAAAUGUUGAGCUGCGUAUCAGAUCCUCAUGCUGGUUUAAAAACAAAGAGCUUUACAACUUUACGAAGAAGAAUAACGAAUGAAAACCUCGACACACCCACAGGUCAUUUACUAAUUACAACAAUAACCUGCUGUUUAAUCAUUUAAUCAGCUAAUUAGUGGUUAGUGCACAAGACAAGCACUUUACAUAAAUCAAACGCUCAGGAGAGAGAGAGAGAGAGAGAGAGAGAGAGAGAGAGAGAGAGUGUGUGUGUGUGUGUGUGUGUGUGUGUGUGUGUGUGUAACUAUUAUGUUAUAAACCAGGUUUUCCCACCACGGAUUAACAACCUUGUGCUCUGUUUCCAA